GCGAGGCGAGCGGGGAUGCCCCGGGCCAGCCCGUCCGGCCCGUGCUGCCCCGGGAGGCUCCCGAGGAUGGGGAGACACGAAUCCAUCUGAGAACCGUGGAGAAGAAACCGUUGGAAAGUGAACAGUUGAAGAUGGCGGUGAGGAAGGGAAUCAGUAAAUUGAUCGAUCAUA